UCCUUGAUUUCCUUGACUUAGUUGACAGAGCACAUCAUUUAUAAUUGCUUACUGAGAAGAACCAAUGAUCAGAGAAACCGCUAAGGAACAACUUCAGCUUAUGGCAGCCUUCAUUUGAGCUGAAAGACUUCAAUUCACCUCCAAAGAGAGGUUCCACUUCCAUUGUGGAUCUUUCCAGAACCAUGGCUAUUGCAGGUGAUGAAGGGAAAGAAGAGGAGAG